rfam:Anopheles merus strain MAF cont2.11574, whole genome shotgun sequence.
UUAUUUUAUAAAUAAAUAGAAAAUAGGCACAAACGAUACAGAGAAGAUUAGCAUGGCCCCUGCGAAAGAAAAUAGGCACUACAUUUUAUCCAUCUUUUU